rnacentral:tRNA from 1 species
GCGUCAGUGGUUUAGUGGUAAAAUCCAUCGUUGCCAUCGAUAGGCGCCGGCUUUGAUUCGCGGCUGACGCA